rnacentral:rRNA from 1 species
AUGAUAACCUAUGCUUUGAUCCAAGAUGUUGUAGGGCACAACCCUAGGUGGCCCGAUGUUCAUGAAUUGGAUGUGGAUUUGAGGAAUAACACCAACAACACAAGGGGAAAACACAAGAAGAACACUCUAAUAGACAAGAUUCAUACCAAGUACUACUCAAAUCACAAGAAUACACCGUUGCAUCAAUAUCCAAGAACAACAAGGGAAACAAACAUACAAGGUAGUUCAUCCAAAUCUCUACAAGAGAUGGGUCUUGAAUUCCAUGGAGGAAUCUUCCCUCAAGUGGGUCUUGGCAACCUUAGAUGA